GACGAACGCUGGCGGCGUGCCUAAUACAUGCAAGUAGAACGCUGAAGAGAGGAGCUUGCUCUUCUUGGAUGAGUUGCGAACGGGUGAGUAACGCGUAGGUAACCUGCCUGGUAGCGGGGGAUAACUAUUGGAAACGAUAGCUAAUACCGCAUAAAAUUGAUUAUUGCAUGAUAAUUAAUUGAAAGAUGCAAUUGCAUCACUACCAGAUGGACCUGCGUUGUAUUAGCUAGUUGGUGAGGUAACGGCUCACCAAGGCGACGAUACAUAGCCGACCUGAGAGGGUGAUCGGCCACACUGGGACUGAGACACGGCCCAGACUCCUACGGGAGGCAGCAGUAGGGAAUCUUCGGCAAUGGGGGGAACCCUGACCGAGCAACGCCGCGUGAGUGAAGAAGGUUUUCGGAUCGUAAAGCUCUGUUGUAAGAGAAGAACGGGUGUGAGAGUGGAAAGUUCACACUGUGACGGUAUCUUACCAGAAAGGACGGCU
rnacentral:rRNA from 1 species